rnacentral:tRNA from 1 species
GUCUCCGGGGCGCAAUCGGCUAGCGCGUUCGGCUGUUAACCGAAAGGUUGGUGGUUCGAGCCCACCCAGGGACG